GACGAACGCUGGCGGCGUGCCUAAUACAUGCAAGUCGAGCGGACUGAAUGGGAGCUUGCUCUUGUUCGGUCAGCGGCGGACGGGUGAGUAACACGUGGGCAACCUGCCCGCAAGACCGGGAUAACUCCGGGAAACCGGAGCUAAUACCGGAUAACACCGAAGACCGCAUGGUCUUUGGUUGAAAGGCGGCGCAAGCUGCCACUUGCGGAUGGGCCCGCGGCGCAUUAGCUAGUUGGUGAGGUAACGGCUCACCAAGGCGACGAUGCGUAGCCGGCCUGGGAGGGUGACCGGCCACACUGGGACUGAGACACGGCCCAGACUCCUACGGGAGGCAGCAGGAGGGGAACUUCCGCAAUGGGCGAAAGCCUGACGGAGCGACGCCGCGGGGGCGAAGAAGGCCUUCGGGUCGUAAAGCUCUGUUGUGAGGGACGAAGGAGCGCCGUUUGAAGAAGGCGGCGCGGUGACGGUACCUCACGAGGAAGCCCCGGCUAACUACGUG
rnacentral:rRNA from 1 species